rnacentral:rRNA from 1 species
AUUGAACGCUGGCGGCAGGCUUAACGCAUGCAAGUCGAGCGGAGAUGAGGUGCUUGCACCUUAUCUUAGCGGCGGACGGGUGAGUAAUGCUUAGGAAUCUGCCUAUUAGUGGGGGACAACAUUCCGAAAGGAAUGCUAAUACCGCAUACGUCCUACGGGAGAAAGCAGGGGAUCUUCGGACCUUGCGCUAAUAUAUGAGCCUAAGUCGGAUUAGCUAGUUGGUGGGGUAAAGGCCUACCAAGGCGACGAUCUGUAGCGGGUCUGAGAGGAUGAUCCGCCACACUGGGACUGAGACACGGCCCAGACUCCUACGGGAGGCAGCAGUGGGGAAUAUUGGACAAUGGGGGGAACCCUGAUCCAGCCAUGCCGCGUGUGUGAAGAAGGCCUUAUGGUUGUAAAGCACUUUAAGCGAGGAGGAGGCUACUGAGACUAAUACUCUUGGAUAGUGGACGUUACUCGCAGAAUAAGCACCGGCUAACUCUGUGCCAGCCGCCGCAGUAACAC